rnacentral:rRNA from 1 species
AGUGAACGCUGGCGGUAGGCCUAACACAUGCAAGUCGAACGGCAGCACAGUAAGAGCUUGCUCUUACGGGUGGCGAGUGGCGGACGGGUGAGGAAUACAUCGGAAUCUACUCUUUCGUGGGGGAUAACGUAGGGAAACAUACGCUAAUACCGCAUACGACCUACGGGUGAAAGCAGGUGAUCUUCGGACGUUGCGCGUAUGAAUGUGCCGAUGUCGUAUUAGCUAGUUGGCGGGGUAAAGGCCCACCAAGGCGACGAUCCGUAGCUGGUCUGAGAGGAUGAUCAGCCACACUGGAACUGAGACACGGUCCAGACUCCUACGGGAGGCAGCAGUAGGGAAUCUUGGACAAUGGGCGCAAGCCUGAUCCAGCCAUACCGCGUGGGUGAAGAAGGCCUUCGGGUUGUAAAGCCCUUUUGUUGGGAAAGAAAAGCAGCAGGUUAAUACCACGCUGUUCUGACGGUACCCAAAGAAUAAGCACCGGCUAACUUCGUG